UUUAGGACAAGCUUUGAGCUGGGGAAAGAAUGCCAUGAGUUUGACAACAAGUUACAGGCAAAAAGCCUACGGCUUCUGGCCGCUGCCUACUUAGAUUGGGAUGCUGUUGAGUACUGUCAGAAAGCACUGAAUGCUGUCAGUUUGGCUAAUGCGGAACACACCCACCCCUUUGGACUUCACCUCAAAGUCAAGAUUCUUUUGCUUGGAGACAGUGCUGAUCACAAAAUAUUGCAAGCAGGUAUGU